UUCUAAAGUAACUUUGUGAUUGAGGGGGAUCUGUUGGCAGAAAUGGAAUAUAAUAUUAAUAAGUAUGGUUUCUUUAGUGUACAAUUACUUGAAAAUA